GACGUAGGGCGCGAGCGUUGUCCGGAUUUAUUGGGCGUAAAGAGCUCGUAGGCGACUUGUCGCGUCGAAUGUGAAAUCUCAGGGCUCAACUCUGACAUUGCAUUCGAUACGGGCAGGCUAGAGUUCGGUAGGGGAGACUGGAAUUCCUGGUGUAGCGGUGAAAUGCGCAGAUAUCAGGAAGAACACCGGUGGCGAAGGCGGGUCUCUGGGCCGAUACUGACGCUGAGGAGCGAAAGCGUGGGGAGCGAACAGG
rnacentral:rRNA from 1 species